UGUGAGCUCGAUGAGUAGGGCGGGACACGUGGUAUCCUGUCUGAAUAUGGGGGGACCAUCCUCCAAGGCUAAAUACUCCUGACUGACCGAUAGUGAACCAGUACCGUGAGGGAAAGGCGAAAAGAACCCCGGCGAGGGGAGUGAAAAAGAACCUGAAACCGUGUACGUACAAGCAGUGGGAGCACGCUUAGGCGUGUGACUGCGUACCUUUUGUAUAAUGGGUCAGCGACUUAUAUUCUGUAGCAAGGUUAACCGAAUAGGGGAGCCGAAGGGAAACCGAGUCUUAACUGGGCGUUAAGUUGCAGGGUAUAGACCCGAAACCCGGUGAUCUAGCCAUGGGCAGGUUGAAGGUUGGGUAACACUAACUGGAGGACCGAACCGACUAAUGUUGAAAAAUUAGCGGAUGACUUGUGGCUGGGGGUGAAAGGCCAAUCAAACCGGGAGAUAGCUGGUUCUCCCCGAAAGCUAUUUAGGUAGCGCCUCGUGAAUUCAUCUCCGGGGGUAGAGCACUGUUUCGGCAAGGGGGUCAUCCCGACUUACCAACCCGAUGCAAACUGCGAAUACCGGAGAAUGUUAUCACGGGAGACACACGGCGGGUGCUAACGUCCGUCGUGAAGAGGGAAACAACCCAGACCGCCAGCUAAGGUCCCAAAGUCAUGGUUAAGUGGGAAACGAUGUGGGAAGGCCCAGACAGCCAGGAUGUUGGCUUAGAAGCAGCCAUCAUUUAAAGAAAGCGUAAUAGCUCACUGGUCGAGUCGGCCUGCGCGGAAGAUGUAACGGGGCUAAACCAUGCACCGAAGCUGCGGCAGCGACACUAUGUGUUGUUGGGUAGGGGAGCGUUCUGUAAGCCUGUGAAGGUGUGCUGUGAGGCAUGCUGGAGGUAUCAGAAGUGCGAAUGCUGACAUAAGUAACGAUAAAGCGGGUGAAAAGCCCGCUCGCCGGAAGACCAAGGGUUCCUGUCCAACGUUAAUCGGGGCAGGGUGAGUCGACCCCUAAGGCGAGGCCGAAAGGCGUAGUCGAUGGGAAACAGGUUAAUAUUCCUGUACUUGGUGUUACUGCGAAGGGGGGACGGAGAAGGCUAUGUUGGCCGGGCGACGGUUGUCCCGGUUUAAGCGUGUAGGCUGGUUUUCCAGGCAAAUCCGGAAAAUCAAGGCUGAGGCGUGAUGACGAGGCACUACGGUGCUGAAGCAACAAAUGCCCUGCUUCCAGGAAAAGCCUCUAAGCAUCAGGUAACAUCAAAUCGUACCCCAAACCGACACAGGUGGUCAGGUAGAGAAUACCAAGGCGCUUGAGAGAACUCGGGUGAAGGAACUAGGCAAAAUGGUGCCGUAACUUCGGGAGAAGGCACGCUGAUAUGUAGGUGAAGUCCCUCGCGGAUGGAGCUGAAAUCAGUCGAAGAUACCAGCUGGCUGCAACUGUUUAUUAAAAACACAGCACUGUGCAAACACGAAAGUGGACGUAUACGGUGUGACGCCUGCCCGGUGCCGGAAGGUUAAUUGAUGGGGUCAGCGCAAGCGAAGCUCUUGAUCGAAGCCCCGGUAAACGGCGGCCGUAACUAUAACGGUCCUAAGGUAGCGAAAUUCCUUGUCGGGUAAGUUCCGACCUGCACGAAUGGCGUAAUGAUGGCCAGGCUGUCUCCACCCGAGACUCAGUGAAAUUGAACUCGCUGUGAAGAUGCAGUGUACCCGCGGCAAGACGGAAAGACCCCGUGAACCUUUACUAUAGCUUGACACUGAACAUUGAGCCUUGAUGUGUAGGAUAGGUGGGAGGCUUGGAAGUGUGGACGCCAGUCUGCAUGGAGCCGACCUUGAAAUACCACCCUUUAAUGUUUGAUGUUCUAACGUUGACCCGUAAUCCGGGUUGCGGACAGUGUCUGGUGGGUAGUUUGACUGGGGCGGUCUCCUCCUAAAGAGUAACGGAGGAGCACGAAGGUUGGCUAAUCCUGGUCGGACAUCAGGAGGUUAGUGCAAUGGCAUAAGCCAGCUUGACUGCGAGCGUGACGGCGCGAGCAGGUGCGAAAGCAGGUCAUAGUGAUCCGGUGGUUCUGAAUGGAAGGGCCAUCGCUCAACGGAUAAAAGGUACUCCGGGGAUAACAGGCUGAUACCGCCCAAGAGUUCAUAUCGACGGCGGUGUUUGGCACCUCGAUGUCGGCUCAUCACAUCCUGGGGCUGAAGUAGGUCCCAAGGGUAUGGCUGUUCGCCAUUUAAAGUGGUACGCGAGCUGGGUUUAGAACGUCGUGAGACAGUUCGGUCCCUAUCUGCCGUGGGCGCUGGAGAACUGAGGGGGGCUGCUCCUAGUACGAGAGGACCGGAGUGGACGCAUCACUGGUGUUCGGGUUGUCAUGCCAAUGGCACUGCCCGGUAGCUAAAUGCGGAAGAGAUAAGUGCUGAAAGCAUCUAAGCACGAAACUUGCCCCGAGAUGAGUUCUCCCUGACUCCUUGA
rnacentral:rRNA from 1 species